rnacentral:rRNA from 1 species
CGACCUCGGAUUGUACGAGACUACCCGCUGGAUUUAAGCAUAUUAAUAAGCG